rnacentral:tRNA from 1 species
UCCCUGGUGGUCUAGUGGUUAAGAUUUGGCCCUCUCACUGCUAUAGCCCAGCUUCAAUCCUGGUCUGGGAA